rnacentral:rRNA from 1 species
AUUGAACGCUGGCGGCAUGCCUUACACAUGCAAGUCGAACGGUAACGGGCCUUCGGGUGCCGACGAGUGGCGAACGGGUGAGUAAUACAUCGGAACGUGCCCGAUCGUGGGGGAUAACGAGGCGAAAGCUUUGCUAAUACCGCAUACGAUCUACGGAUGAAAGCAGGGGACCGCAAGGCCUUGCGCGGACGGAGCGGCCGAUGGCAGAUUAGGUAGUUGGUGGGAUAAAAGCUUACCAAGCCGACGAUCUGUAGCUGGUCUGAGAGGAUGAUCAGCCACACUGGGAAUGAGAAACGGCCCAGACUCCUACGGGAGGCAGCAGUGGGGAAUUUUGGACAAUGGGCGCAAGCCUGAUCCAGCCAUGCCGCGUGCAGGAUGAAGGCCUUCGGGUUGUAAAAUGCUUUUGUACGGAACGAAAAGCCUUCUUUUAAUACAGGAGGGUCAUGACGGUACCGUAAGAAUAAGCACCGGCUAACUACGUG